rnacentral:rRNA from 1 species
UACGGAGGGUGCGAACGUUAAUCGGAAUCACUGGGCGUAAAGCGCGCGUAGGCGGUUUGUUAAGUGGGAUGUGAAAUCCCCGGGCUUAACUGGGGAGGGUCACGCGAUACUGAUCGACUCGAAGGCAGGAGAGGGUAGUGGAAUUCCCGGUGUAGUGGUGAAAUGCGUAGAUAUCGGGAGGAACACCAGUGGCGAAGGCGACUACCUGGCCUGUUCUUGACGCUGAGGCGCGAAAGCUAGGGGAGCAAACGGG